rnacentral:rRNA from 1 species
CAGUAGCCGCGGUAAUACGUAGGUGGCAAGCGUUGUCCGGAAUUAUUGGGCGUAAAGGGCUCGCAGGCGGUUUCUUAAGUCUGAUGUGAGAGCCCCCGGCUCAACCGGGGAGGGUCAUUGGAAACUGGGAAACUUGAGUGCAGAAGAGGAGAGUGGAAUUCCACGUGUAGCGGUGAAAUGCGUAGAGAUGUGGAGGAACACCAGUGGCGAAGGCGACUUUCUGGUCUGUAACUGACGCUGAUGUGCGAAAGCGUGGGGAUCAAACAGGAUUAGAUACCCCCGUAGUCCCUGUCUCUUAUAC